rnacentral:rRNA from 1 species
CCUACGGGUGGCAGCAGUCGAGAAUCAUUCACAAUGGGGGAAACCCUGAUGGUGCGACGCCGCGUGGGGGAAUGAAGGAAGGUGGAUUGUAAACCCCUGUCAUGUGGGAGCAAAUUAAAAAGAUAGAACAACAAGAGGAAGAGAAGGAUAACUCUGUGCCAGCAGCCGCGGUAAUACAGAGGUCUCAAGCGUUGUUCGGAAUCACUGGGCGUAAAGCGUGCGGAGGCUGUUUCGUAAGUCGUGUGUGAAAGGCGCGGGCUCAACCCGCGGACGGCACAUGAUACUGCGAGACUAGAGUAAGGGAGGGGGAGCCGGAAUUCUCGGUGUAGCAGUGAAAUGCGUAGAUAUCGGGAGGAACACUCGUGGCGAAGGCGGGUUCCUGGACAGUAACUGACGCUGAGGCACGAAGGCCAGGGGAGCGAAAGGGAUUAGAUACCCUAGUAGUC